rnacentral:rRNA from 1 species
AGAGCGAAUGCUGGCGGCAGGCCUAACACAUGCAAGUCGAGCGCCCGUAGCAAUACGGGAGCGGCAGACGGGAUAGUAACACGUGGGAACGCGCCCUUCGGUUCGGAAUAACUCAGGGAAACUUGAGCUAAUACCGGAUACGCCCUUACGGGGAAAGAUUUAUUGCCGAAGGAACGGCCCGCGUCCGAUUAGCUAGUUGGUGAGGUAAUGGCUCACCAAGGCGACGAUCGGUAGCUGGUCUGAGAGGAUGACCAGCAUCACUGGGACUGAGACACGGCCCAGACUCCUACGGGAGGCAGCAGUGGGGAAUAUUGGACAAUGGGCGCAAGCCUGAUCCAGCCAUGCCGCGUGGAUGAUGAAGGCCUUCGGGUUGUAAACCCCUUUCAGCAGGGACGAAGCGAGAGUGACGGUACCUGCAGAAGAAGCGCCGGCUAACUACGCGCCAGCAGCCGC